rnacentral:rRNA from 1 species
AGAGCCCAAACCAAGAAGCUUGCUUCUUGGGGUUGUAGGACACUCUAUACGGAGUUACAAAAGAAAGUUAUAAAUGAAGCGGUCUGGAAAGGCCCGCCAAAGACGGUAACAGCCCGGUAGUUGAAAUAGCUUUCCCUCCAGAGUGGAUCCUGAGUACGGCGGAACACGUGAAAUUCCGUCGGAAUCCGGGAGGACCAUCUCCCAAGGCUAAAUACUCCCUAGUGACCGAUAGUGAACCAGUACCGUGAGGGAAAGGUGAAAAGCACCCCGGAAGGGGAGUGAAACAGUUCCUGAAACCGUGUGCCUACAAGUAGUUAGAGCCCGUUAAUGGGUGAUAGCGUGCCUUUUGUAGAAUGAACC